rfam:Asian citrus Psyllid, Diaphorina citri - Florida Strain, whole genome shotgun sequence.
GCCUAGUUAGCUUAGUUGGUAGUGCGUCUGCCUUGUAAGCGCUAGGCCGCGGGUUCGAUUACCGCCCGGGGCG